rnacentral:lncRNA from 1 species
AGAAUCCUGCAAACAGCAGCUGGCUUAGUGGAAGCUGCCAGACUUCAGGGAUUCUGAGAUCGCUCAGUGAAGGUAGGGGGCCGUCUUGUUUUAGUUAAGGGAAUAGUCCGGAAUAGCCAGCUUAAAAUCCGAGAUGACUUACGUUAAACAACCCCCAAAUUUGGGGAGGAUCAGGCCAAGCCUAUAAGCCUUGUAUUUCACUUUAGGUCCCCAUAGGGCAGUCUUUUAAAAAAAAAUAAACACAUGUCCUAAUCCUUUCUUAUGAAGUCCCAACAAGUCGCUGUUAUGCUGUAAAGGUGUUUUCGGGACUCCACAUAUCUCUAGGAACUUCUCAGUUUGGUCCAGUUGCGCUAUAAUUGUAUUCUACGUGUGUCAAAAAAAUGUAUGUCCUUCUUCUGACUAAAAUGUUUUCAUUACUAGGCUCCAUCUGAUUUUCUUCCUGAUAAGAUCUCAGAAUCCAUUUAUUGAGGGCUUAUUAUGUGCCAGGCAUUAAGCCCUUUAUGAGUUUUAUUAUUUCAUUCCAUUUAUCUUUAACAGGCAUGCUUCAAUGUAGUAGUUCCGGCAAGCGUGUAAAAACUCAGCCCGGUGAAAGGGUUUCGUUUUUCACUUUCACAAACUGUCGCUCUUAAAUGAUAAUUGUGUUUUAUUCUGAGCCCUAGUUCACUUGGAGGAAGGACUCGAACAGAGCAUGACUGCCUUUCACUGGGGUGGGCUUGUUUGGCAGGCGGUCUCAUCCCUCCUCCUUUGUUUGGUGGUUUAGGGAGAGUUCUGAUGUUUCCUCUCAGGCCUCUGGAAUUAUAAAUGUCAGGAGGACAGAAACUGCCUGUGUCACAUUUGUGCCUGUCCUACAAUUUGUAAACCUUAAUAAAGCCCUGUAGGAAUAGGAGAUAAUACCAGAGACUACUUCUCCUGGGAGAGAGAACAUUGAGAGGGCUGGUAACUGGCCAGGAAACUGACCCCGAAAUAUGACGAGAUAGUUUGUCUUCUGAUCCCUUAUUUUCCUAUAGAUGAAAAGGUCCUGGAUCCUUUUCAUACGGACACCCUUGAGAGCUGGCUGGGAGCCCUCCUUCUAUUCCGGACUCGUAGGCCACCAUGCCGGAGCCUGUUGAUUGCAUUAAAUACACAGUUACUUUUUAGUGUUGAUCAUUGGAGGCUAAGAUAAAGCCAUUUGCACUUGAUUUAUUCAGUACAUGAUUCCAUGUCUCAAGAAGUGAAAAUCCAGUGAAAUAAGCCACCGCUCUAGCUCUCAUUAACAACUUGAUCCAAAUCCACUCAAAAUGCUCACUCUUAAAGUCAUCAGAUAAUGAUGCUAACACAAUUGGCUGAGGUCUGUUAGUUCAAUCAAGUAAUUAUACAUAGAAUUUGUAAACUGUUUCCAAAUAAUAUUUUAUUUCUUAUAAAUCAAUCUAAAAUUUCCAAAGGAGCUGAAAUUUACAUUAAUGAAAUAUAUAAAUAUGAUAAAGAUGAGGCUGCUUCCAGGUUCAGUUUGUAAAAUUGCAGUCAUUGCCCUCAUUGCUUUGAAAUAAGUUGUGUAAAAUCCAGAAAAAUGGGAAAGAAAAAUUGGAAAGAAGAUAUUGUAGAAAUUGGAAAGAAGAUAUUCUAGAUUACUCUUUCAAGACAGAUCAUGAUCAUUUUUUUUUUUUUUUAAAUUUUUUUUUUCAACAUUUAUUUAUUUUUGGGACAGAGAGAGACAGAGCAUGAACAGGGGAGGGGCAGAGAGAGAGGGAGACACAGAAUCGGAAACAGGCUCCAGGCUCUGAGCCAUCAGCCCAGAGCCCGACGCGGGGCUCGAACUCACGGAGCGCGAGAUCGUGACCUGGCUGAAGUCGGACGCUUAACCGACUGCGCCACCCAGGCGCCCCUCAUGAUCAUUUUUAACUUAUGUGAUACAUUUCCGGUUGACAGGCGAAGCCUUCUCUAGUCCAGAUUCGGUGAAUUAUCUGAACAGAAGAAUAUAUGUUGGUGGUGAGCUAAGCCAUUUUAUUCAGGAUUUGGUCCAGGGCAGAACUGAAGCCAUACUUUAUUCUACACCCCCAUAUAUACUCAUUCAGUACUGUAGGUUUGCUUCUAUAAACUAAAGGCCAUCAUCACUUCUUCCUCUGUUCUUUAGAUCUUUGGAAGUCAAGUCAAUUCUCAGAGGUCCUAUAUAUAAUUGUCCUAGCCUAAGGAAGAAACCAGAAGUAUCUCUGCUCUCCCUAUACUCCCCUGACACUAUUAGAUCUAGAAGAGGCCCUAGAAUCACAAAGCAUCUCUACCAGAAUAUUAUCCCUCUGUUAACUGUAAUUCUCGAAAGUGUCAUUGUUUCUCUUCUGCUCUACUUUAUUACAUAAAUGGGAACACCGUGGUUUUAGGCACACCAAAUUGCCACUGCACUAAAGUAAAUGUAGCUUGAUGCAUAUUCUCCUGAUGAAAGAUCUAUCAGUGGUCAGAAUAACAUUUUGGGAUGCUAGCCAAGCCAACUCUUAAGACCUUCCUGGUUUUGACCACUGCAAAGGAGCUGCUGGUUUCUUGAAAUAAACCAAAGGUGUUUUACACCUGAUAGGAAUUAUUGAGCAUGUCAAACACGGCUUCAAGAGAUAUUUUCACUUUGACUUAAAAAAGUUGUGCAGGGAACGUAGGUAAGCUUAGAAUAUGGCUAUUUUUAACUGAAAAUGUACUGACUUUCUUUUUGAAGGUGCUGAUACAACUUCUGACACUGUUGGUGAUGAGUGGUGUGUAACAGCCGGUUCAGCUCUGAGCUAUCAAAUACUGAAAGGGAAUCUUCUAAGUACAAAUCCCAGGACACCAGACCAGCUCUUAAUGGCCCUCUCUUUCCUGGGUAGGUUGGGGACGAGGAACUAAGCGGCCUGGGGAGAACGGACUGCCUUAAACAAUACAGGAAGGAGAAAACCCCCAAGGAAGACAAUUUAAAGAUUAAGUCACAUGGUUUGAAUUUGAUACAAUGUGGGAAUUCCAGUUUAAUGCUAAUUUAGAAAUAGUUGCUUCUAACAGCCUUUGUCUUGUACACAGAAAUCAGUUUGGAUAAAGGAAACAUAGCUUUGAGAAUGCAGUUUCUCAGUGAGUCUGAAAGGCAAGUUCUGUAAUCAAAAAGUGGAUGUCGGCAGGAAGGCCUAAUCAUAUGUUUUCUUAAACCAAAGUCCUUUUUCCUUUUCAUUAG